rnacentral:lncRNA from 1 species
CACCUAGUGACCCUGUGGACCCAGGAGCAUCAGGGCUCUGGACUUGAAGCAUCUAUUUGGCAUAGUGAAAAUCUACAUGUUUUCUUCACUGGACUCUUUGGAAAUGUCUUAUUAUGCACUCCAGGCUCUCAAACUCUGGCUUCUCAUGCUGCAAACUCUCAAAUGCUGAGGCUACAGGCAUUGCUGGUCUGUGCCACCACACCAGACAAGAGCAGUUAAGAGUAUCAAUACAGCCUGCUUUUAAAACUAAGUAAACAAAAUGGAACGGGGAGGGGAAAGGACCACCAACAACAGCAUCAAGCAUGAGACUCUUCUUGGGAACAGCUGUGCCUCUAGGCAGACAGAUGAAUCCAGGUGGCCUUUGAUGUCUCUCGGAGCAGAGUAUUGUGAUGAGUCCUGGCCUCCCUGGAGCUUUUUCAUCAUCCCUAAAUUGGAAUCUGCUGCAGAAGCCGUUAUCAGCAACCUCGAGCACACUUUCCGGAACAGCAGCUAGAAACCCAAAUAAAUGCUCUCAUUUCCCAAAUGCUUGACUCGGGAAUGUGAGCCACUGAGUCACAGCUCUUGACUUCAGGGUGACCUGGCUUUUGAGGUGCUGGCCUGAGUCAUACCACCUGACCCUACACCAUUUGUGUUCUUGGCAACUGACAUCGUCUCUGUGUAAGCCAGGCUCCUUCCUCACACUGGGGCUGCUCGAGAAUUUCGCAAUGUGCAGGGCUCAAUGGAUGGACCACGGAGAUCCUUAAGCACAAUGGAAUCAAAGAUGCCAGCAACUGUUGCCACUUGCUCCUUUGAAACAGUUUUUGAAAAACCCUGUAAGCCUGGCUGAGAAAAGGCAAAUAGCCUUUAGUGAAUCAGUUUGGCAAGCCAACCCGGAUAGAAGAUAAAUGUGCUGCAAGCACAUUUAGCAGCAACAGGACAAAACCACAGGUAGUUCAUAGGCACAACAGAGGAGCCUAUUCUGCUACCGAGCCCUUCCUGGGGAAUACCUGCUCCCCAACUGACCUCUCCACAGGCCCUUUCUAGCACCUUGUCUAGGAUGAGAUAGGCACAUUAUUGAAUCCUAAUGCUCUUCAAAGGCUGAUCUGGUUUUCAAGUGGGCCGGUGUCCACCUUCAUCUUUAUUGUGAUCAUUGACCCCAUUGGUCCUCUGGUCGUAUUUCUGGUACCGUGUUCUCUAUGGGUAAGGAAAGGAACUGCAGAUCCAAUGGCCCUUCAGAGACUUCGGUGAAAAAUGCACAUGAUGUUCGGCUGUUCUGGUAAUGAAAUAGAUGCACAUUAAAAACAACAGUGACGUGUCUACACCAGCGUCUGUAGACACGGCUCCAGAGUAAAGCACUUGCUAUGCAAUCAGGCUCUGAGCUCAGAUCCCUAGCAAGCAUGUAAUAGCCUGGUGUGAUAGUCCCAUCCUAGUAACUUAAACCUAGACCCUUCCACCUCGUGAUCCGUCUUCCAGGACUUCACCCCAGCCACUAAGCCUCAUAUAUAAGCUUUUGUAAUGUCAUGGUUCAUAACGGGUAGGCUCUGAGAAAUGACCACUGGACAGGUGGGGGUCGGGGUGCAUGAUAAAGCCAUCAAACAAAGUGUGUGAGAUUCAGUCUUCCUGUCACAUGCCCAGCUACAGAAGAAAACAAAAUAUUACUUGCAGAGUAAAAUAUCUAAUACUACCUCAGGGUUUGGAAGGAGCCACAUGAAAAUGGC